CCACGGGGGGCAGCAGUGGGGAAUAUUGCACAAUGGGGGAAACCCUGAUGCAGCGGCGCCGCGUGAGCGAUGAAGUAUUUCGGUAUGUAAAGCUCUAUCAGCAGGGAAGAAAAUGACGGUACCUGACUAAGAAGCCCUGGCUAACUACGUGCCAGCAGCCGCGGUAAUACGUAGGGGGCAAGCGUUAUCCGGAUUUACUGGGUGUAAAGGGAGCGUAGACGGCGGUGCAAGCCAGAUGUGAAAGCCCGGGGCUCAACCCCGGGACUGCAUUUGGAACUGUGCUGCUAGAGGGUCGGAGGGGCAGG
rnacentral:rRNA from 1 species